rnacentral:rRNA from 1 species
AUUGAACGCUGGCGGCAGGCCUAACACAUGCAAGUCGAACGAGUGGCGGACGGGUGAGUAAUGUCUGGGAAACUGCCUGAUGGAGGGGGAUAACUACUGGAAACGGUAGCUAAUACCGCAUACCAUCAGAUGUGCCCAGAUGGGAUUAGCUAGUUGGUGGGGUAACGGCUCACCAAGGCGACGGUCCCUAGCUGGUCUGAGAGGAUGACCUGCCAAGCUGGGAAUGGAGCAAGGUCCAGACUCCUACGGGAGGCAGCAGUGGGGGAUAUUGCACCAAGGGCAGAAGCCUGGUGCAGCCCAGCCGGGUGUGUGGAGAAGGGCUUCGGGUUGGAAAAUACUUUCAGGGGGGAAGCGUUGCCCGCAAGAGAAGCACCGGCUAACUCCGUGCCAACCACCGCGGUAAUAC